rnacentral:rRNA from 1 species
AUUAACAAAAUAAAGUAAAUACGUUAUCACGAAAGAGAGUGAGCUAAACAAAUAUAUUCUCAAUAAUACGUGGCAUAGUAUUUCUAUAAUAUGUGUUUAGGGGUGAUAGGCUUUCCAAACUCUCUAAUAACUUGUUUCACAUGAAAAGUAUUUAGUACAAAGACAUACUUAAAAAGUUAAGCUUUUAAGGGAUUAUCAAAAUUAGUUUUUUUAUUUGAUGUAGUAUAAUAGCUAAUUAGUAAAAAUUUUAAUAUUACUUAUAUAUUUUUAUAAUAAAUAGUGUGAUAAUGUAAAUUAUUUAGACGUUGAAAAAUGUUAAUAUUAGUAUUUAUUUUAAGUGUGCUAAAGGAACUCGGCAAAUAACCGCUCAACUGUUUAUCAAAAACAUAGCUAUAUGAAUUAAUAUGUAGUUAUUUCUGCUCAAUGAUUAUUAAAUAGCCGCAGUACCCUGACUGUGCAAAGGUAGCAUAAUCAGUUGGCUUUUAAUUAAAGUCUGGUAUGAAUGAAAAUAUGGGUGGUGACUGUCUUAGCAUAUUAAUUUGAACUUAUUAAGCAAGUGCAAAUACUUGCAAACUUCCAAAAGACGAGAAGACCCUAGAAACUUGAAAUAGUUUUUGUUGGGGCGACAGAAUUACAUUUAACUAAUUUUAAGAGACAUGACAUUUAUUGAAAGAGUAAGUUACUCUAGGGAUAACAGCAUAAUUUUAAUAGUUUGUGACCUCGAUGUUGGACUAGGUAUUAUAUCCUUAAGGCAAGGUUAUAAGAUGCUCUGUUCGAGCAGUUUUACCUACAU